UACAGAGGGGGCAAGCGUUAUUCGGAAUUAUUGGGCGUAAAGGGCGCGUAGGCGGCUUUGCAAGUGACGGGUGAAAUCCCUCGGCUUAACCGAGGAACUGCCUGUCAAACUGCAUGGCUUGAGACCGGGAGAGGUGAGUGGAAUUCCCAGUGUAGCGGUGAAAUGCGCAGAUAUCGGGAGGAACACCAAUGGCGAAGGCAGCUCGCUGGGACGUUACUGACGCUGAGACGCGAAAGCGUGGGGAGCAAACAGG
rnacentral:rRNA from 1 species